CUCGCGGGGCGCCCGCCGGAGGAAACCCAAACUCUUGGUAUUCAUGGCCUCUCUGAGUCUUCUGUACUGAAUAAGUCAAAACUUUCAACAACGGAUCUCUUGGUUCUGGCAUCGAUGAAGAACGCAGCGAAAUGCGAUAAGUAAUGUGAAUUGCAGAAUUCAGUGAAUCAUCGAAUCUUUGAACGCACAUUGCGCCCGCCAGUAUUCUGGCGGGCAUGCCUGUGCGGGAAGUCAUUUCAACCAUCAAGCCCCCGGGCUUGUGUUGGGGACCUGCGGCUGCCGCAGGCCCUGAAAACCAGUGGCGGGCUCGCUGUCACACCGAGCGUAGUAGAUUCUCAUCUCGCUCAGGGCGUGCUGCGGGUUCCGGCCGUAAAACAGCCUUAUUUACCCAAGGUGACCUCGAUCAGUAGAAG
rnacentral:rRNA from 1 species